UACAGGGGGUGCAAACGUUGCUCGGAAUCAUUGGGCGUAAAGCGCACGUAGGCGGUUCGUUAUGUCGGAUGUGAAAGCCCUUGGCUUAACCGAGGAAGUGCAUCCGAAACUGGCGAGCUAGAGUACUAAAGAGGAUCGCGGAAUUCCCGGUGUAGAGGUGAAAUUCGUAGAUAUCGGGAGGAACACCGGUGGCGAAGGCGGCCUGCUGGACAGCACCUGACACUGAGACGCGAAAGCGUGGGUAGCAAACAGG
rnacentral:rRNA from 1 species